rnacentral:rRNA from 1 species
GAUGAACGCUGGCGGCGUGCCUAACACAUGCAAGUCGAACGGAAAGGCCCUGCUUUUGUGCGGUGCUCGAGUGGCGAACGCGGGAGUGACACGUGUGUAACCUGCCCUUGACUUUGGGGUAACUUCAGGAAACUGGGGCUAAUACCGGAUAGGAGAUCCUGCUGCGUGGUGGGGGUUGGAAAGUUUCGGCGGUUGGGGAUGGACUCGCGGCUUAUCAGCUUGUUGGUGGGGGAGUGGCUUACCAAGGCUUUGACGGGUAGCCGGCCUUGGAGGGUGACCGGCCACAUUGGGCCUGAGGUACGGCCCAGUCUCCUACGGGAGGCAGCAGUGGGGAACAUUGCACAAUGGGCGGAAGCCUGAUGCAGCAACGCCGCGUGCGGGAUGACGGCCUUCGGGUGGUAAACCGCUUUCGCCUGUGACGAAGCGUGAGUGACGGUAACGGGUAAAGAAGCACCGGCUAACUACGUG